rnacentral:lncRNA from 1 species
GCUGGUAUUGAUCGUUCUCGACUAGUCACAGUGGUUUGAUUGCAUCGAGAGGGUAUAACUACUCUAUAGCAGUGAAUGCUCUGAGGUAGAGAUAGAGUUGGACCCAAUAACUGUUAGAUGAGGGAUCCAAUAAUGGCUUUACAUCCGCUGGUGUACAUUAAGUCUGACUUAACUAAAAAAUAUGUCAAUAAUUAUUAGAUGAGGCCAUAGGACUUAGAGAU